rnacentral:rRNA from 1 species
GACGAACGCUGGCGGCGUGCUUAACACAUGCAAGUCGAACGGAAAGGCCUGCUUUCCCUUGUGGAUUGCGGGUACUCGAGUGGCGAACGGGUGAGUAACACGUGAGUGAUCUGCCCCCAACUUGGGUAUAAGCCUGGGAAACUGGGUCUAAUUCCCGAUAGGACUGCAGGGUGGUGCCGGUGGUGGAAAACGAUUGUCUAGUGGUUGGGGAUGAGCUCGCGGCCUAUCAGCUUGUAGGUGGGGUAAUGGCCGACCAAGGCGGCGACGGGUAGCCGGCCUGGGAGGGUGGACGGCCACAUUGGGACUGAGAUACGGCCCCGACUCCUACGGGAGGCAGCAGUCGGGAGUAUUGCACAAUGGGCGGAAGCCUGAUGCCGCGACGCCGCGUGGGGGAUGACGGCCUUCGGGUUGUAAACUCCUUUCGACCGCGAGGAAGCCACCUGGUUGGAAGGGUGGUGACGGUAGUGGUAGAAGAAGCACCGGCUAACUACGUG